GGGAAUAUUGGACAAUGGGCGAAAGCCUGAUCCAGCAACGCCGCGUGGGCGAUGAAGGCCUUAGGGUCGUAAAGCCCUUUUGUGGGGGAAGAUGAUGACGGUACCCCACGAAUAAGCCACGGCUAACUACGUGCCAGCAGCCGCGGUAAUACGUAGGUGGCAAGCGUUGUCCGGAUUUACUGGGCGUAAAGGGCGUGCAGGCGGUUCGUUAAGUUCGAGGUGAAAGCUCCCGGCUCAACUGGGAGAGGUCCCCGGAUACUGGCGGACUUGAGGGAGGCAGAGGAAAGUGGAAUUCCCGGUGUAGUGGUGAUAUGCGUAGAUAUCGGGAGGAACACCAGUGGCGAAGGCGGCUUUCUGGGCCUUACCUGACGCUGAGACGCGAAAGCGUGGGGAGCGAA
rnacentral:rRNA from 1 species